GACUGAAGGUGUUUGAUGGUAUCCCCCCGCCCUGUGACGAGGAAGUGCAUGGCUGUCCCAGCUGCCCUUAAGAUUGUGUGUCUGAAGCCCACUCGCAAGGCAUGCUGCCCCACAAAACCAAGCGAGGAUAGGCUGCUCUGGAUAGACUGAUGGUGAUUGACUGAAGCCCCCCCGCCCUUUGACUGGGUGAAUUUCAAUGAACAUCAAAGGGCCACAAUAUCGCUCCGUUUGAACUAUGCACAUUGAACUCUGCUGUCUGUGAUGAUACUUUACCAGCCUUCUUUGAAUAAGACAAUGAAAAGAAAUUCAAUACAAUAUCUGAGACGAGCCGUCUUAUCAAUGGUUAGAUAUGUUGUUUUUACUACUUUAUCUGAUUUUGGCUUUUGUUCCGCAGGAAGUGCAUGGCUGUUCCAGCUGCCCUUAAGAUUGUGCGUCUGAAGCCCACUCGCAAGGCAUCAUGCCCCACAAAACCAAGCAAGGGCAGGCUGCUCUGACUGAAGGUGUUUGAUGGUAUCCCCCCGCCCUAUGAUGAGGUAAAUCUAAUUUAACAUCAAAGGGCCAUGCAGAUUAAACUCUUGUCAUCUGUGAUGAUACUUUUACCAGCCUUCUAUGAAUAAGACUAUGAAAAGAAAUUAAAUACAAUAUCUGAGACGAGCCGUCUUAGCAAUAGUUAGAAGUGUUGUUUUCGACUUUAUCUGAUUUUGGCUUUUCUUCCACAGGAAGCGGAUGUGUGUUCCAGCUGCCCGUAAGAUUGUUUGUCUGAAGAGUCACACAUGGGCUUGAAUUUUAGAAUUGGCAAACUAUAUUCAUCACUUAAAUUAAAAAAAUGCAGAUCUGGAAUUUCAGCACCUUUUUUUUAUACCGUUAAAAACUCUACAGAGAAGACAUUAUAUUGUCAUGCAUAAAGUCAAUACUAGUACACAUUUAAGAAAAACCAAAGUCAAAAAAUAUGCCAUUAUAAAAGGAAAUAUACACUAACAACCAAAAAGGGAAAAUUAAAUGUAGAACCAACAAACUUGUGGGAACAAGAACUGCAUAGAAGGUCGACAUAACUUAAAUGAGUUUUUAAGAAGUUACUGAUUCUGCGAGCCUUAUCUCCUUCGGUAGGACGAGGGGCCCUGAUGACAAAGGCACGGUCACCUUUUGAUUUAAAACCUCGACUUUGGAACAGCUCACCGAGGAUCGAAGGCUGUAGGCAGGCUCGUAUGUGGCUCACGUUUCAACAAAGUACAUACCUGCAAACUUGUCACCUUUCGGUGAAAUUUACCGUUUUGAACUCAAAAUAGGUCAUCCACGUGAAUCGUGGAGAUCCGAAGAGUUUUUGUUUUGGGGGGCCCUGGUCACCUGGCCCGCUGCCGUUGAGAUUCCAGUGAGAUGCGGAGAAAAGUGUGACGUGCUGUUCGCAAUAAAACAUCUUUGAUGGGACGUGUCUUGGCCAAUCAGCGUUCAGAUGUCGACAUCGUUUGGGGGUUCAGGUUAGCUUGAAUGUCAGCCCGCUACAUCGGCUGCUGUCACGCUGCACGGUGUAGCGAUGCUAACAAAGUACCCGUACGUUAAACACAAUGGCUGUGUCUACUACCGCGCACUUAACGAAGUACACUGCAUUGCAGUGCACUGCGUCGCUGAUGAAGUGCUGUCUCAAAUGGAACACUUACGUUAACCACUUGGCGGAAGUGACGGACGCAAAUCUGUUCACGGCACCCGCGAAAUUAAGCCGGGAGUGACGUAUGCAAAUCUGCUUGCGAUACCCUAACCCUUAAACUGACAAAAUGAAUGCACUUCUUGCCCUCUUGUUGUCCCUUGUUUACCCCUUUCUCCACCCCAUGUAGAAACUGCGAUACCUCCACAAUCGCGGCAGGAGCCUCCGCCUUCUGGCUGAAGUCGAGAUGCAGCCACCCAGUCCCAGGCGGCGCUGCCGUAUCAAUGUUGCAAUGCCACUGCUGGCGUUGUAUUGUGAUGGCCACAGUGACAUGAGGGUGGACUUCAGGCUCACCCGAGAGUCAUUCAACGCCCUCAUGGCUGUGCUGGGCACUGACUGACCACGGUUGGGGCCCCGAGAUCUCCUGUCUAGUUUUUAUUUUUUGGCUUGCCACCUCCUAUCGGGUGGUGGCCAGGGCCUUCGACAGGCCCCGGGCUCAGUGCAUGAUGCCAGGGUCCUGAAUAACAGCCCCAUCUUCUAUGAGCAGUCAUCCCCUCCACCAGGAUACUGUAUCCUUGGGGAUGGUGGCUCCCCCUGCCUGUCCCAACCCAUCUGCCUCAUGACCCCCUUCAGGCAGCCUGUCCACCUCCAAGCUACAACUGCUGCCUGUCAAAGGCGAGGUGUGUUGUGGAGAGGUCCUUCGGGAUACUUAAGACGCGAUGGCGGUCCAUCUUCUUAAAGGCCCUGGAGGUGGAUGUGAGGUUUGUGCCAGAGGUCAUUGGAGCCAGAUGCAGAUGUCGGGAGGGCAGCAGAGGACCAGCACCAGCACCUCCAGGAAACGUCU